AACGUAGGAGACAAACGUUAUCCGGAGUUACUGGGCGUAAAGGGCGUGUAGGGUGGUUGCGUAAGUCUGGCGUGAAAUAUCUCGGCUUAACCGAGGCAGGUCGUCGGAUACUGCGUAACUGGAGGACGGUAGAGGCGCGUGGAAUUCCGGGUGUAGUGGUGAAAUGCGUAGAGAUCCGGAGGAACACCAGUGGCGAAGGCGACACGCUGGGCCGUACCUGACACUGAUGCGCGACAGCAUGGGGAGCA
rnacentral:rRNA from 1 species